rnacentral:miRNA from 1 species
GCAACUGAAUUUCUGAUUUCGAGUUCCAGUUUUCAAAUGUCAUUUUCGACCUCAUAUUUGGAGUCGUUAUUUAUAUAUAUAUAUAUAUAGAUUCUCCAAAUAUGAGGUCGAAAAUGACAUUUGAAAACUGGAACUCGAAAUCAGGAUUUGUAGUUGCA